AUAAUGUAUUAGAAUUUAUUUCAGAACCACAUCGUUUCUUAUCUCGGCUAUGAAUGCCAAUGCACCGCUAUCAUAGUGGCGAUAAGAACGAUGAGAAGAAUGACGAUUAUGUAGAAUAACAAGCACAUGGCUGCAAUACUUCAGAUGCUUGAGGACAAAUAAUUCGACUGUCAGGAGUACAGAACGAUGGUUCAUCAACCGAAAAUUUACGCUGCAGAUCCAGUAAAAAAUUCCCAGAGUUUGUUGAAUGUUUGGAGAUGUGAGAGCUGCCAAAGAAUAUGUGAUACUGACAUUUAGAACUCGGCCUACAAGGAAAACGUUCCUUAUUUUGCUGAUAUUAUUGUAGAAAAAUACAGAGGGGACCUCAACAUAAAUCUGUUCAAAUCAAUAAGUUAGAAAAUCAAUUUUCAAAGGAAGCAAUGAAUCCGUCAAGCCCAACAGAACCUGCUAUAGGCCUGCAGUCCCAGUGCGCCGAAUAUUCCACGUCCAGCUCCACGCCACGCGACUGGGCUAUGAAAAGGGAUAGCUGGUUCCAAGCCCGUUAUAGGAAUAGACCAUCGUGUCCCAUUUAUGUACGAACUGGAUUGGUGCCCCUCAAAAAGUGCCGCAAGGCCGAGAAGGCUCUUGAGAUGGAAUCCACUUUCAAAGCUCCACUGUCGGAAACUGCACAGGUCAUUGCCAGUCAAUCAACAGACAUCCAAAAUUAAAAAAACCUUCGUGUAAAUUAUGAAAAAGUUAGACUAUUUCAUGCAGUUUGGUGUCGAAUACAUAUUGAUUUUGGGGGUGCUGGUCAACUUGGUGGUCAUUUGCAAUCCUUUUAGUACAGAGACCUCUGAAACACGGUAUGAGAAAAAAAUGAGCCGUGCAAGCCCGUCAAUGAAGGCGGUAUUUUUUAUUUUAAAACACCUCAUUGGUCGUGAGAUCUUUUAGGAUCUCUUUUAUAUUUUUGAUU
rnacentral:sRNA from 1 species